rnacentral:rRNA from 1 species
GUAGGUGGCAAGCGUUGUCCGGAAUUAUUGGGCGUAAAGCGCGCGCAGGCGGUUCUUUAAGUCUGAUGUGAAAGCCCCCGGCUCAACCGGGGAGGGUCAUUGGAAACUGGGGAACUUGAGUGCAGGAGAGGAAAGUGGAAUUCCACGUGUAGCGGUGAAAUGCGUAGAUAUGUGGAGGAACACCAGUGGCGAAGGCGACUUUCUGGCCUGUAACUGACACUGAGGCGCGAAAGCGUGGGGAGCAAACAGGGAUUAGAUACCCUGGUAGUCCACGCCGUAAACGAUGAGUGCUAAGUGUUGGGGGGGUUUCCCGCCCCUCAGUGCUGCAGCUAACGCAUUAAGCACUCCGCCUGGGGAGUACGGUGCAAGACUG